CAUUGGAAUUAUUAUCCGCUGUUGAAGAGACCCUGGUUGAGCUAUACGCCGCGGGGAAGGAAGGAUAGAGUUAAAUGCCUACUUUUUCCCGGGAGGACCAACUUCCGGUCUCUCUAGGGAUAUCGGCUUCGGGGAGUGUCGGUGCCACCGGCGGCGUUAUUUCGGAGGAGCCGGGCGUUUUCCGAAAGUUUUGGGCGUAAAGCGUCGGCAGGUGCCCCUCCAAGUCUGCCGUCAAAGUCCGGGGCUUAACUCUAGGAGGGCGGUGGAAACCGUGGGCCUAGUGUCCGGCAGGGGUAGGGGGAUUUCCCGGUGUAGCGGUGAAACGCGUGGAGGGGGGAGGACCACCAGCGGCGAUGGCGCGGUACGGGCGUGACUACCUGGGAAGAGUGGCACUCGCC
rnacentral:rRNA from 1 species